CAGGCCUGCGAAUUUGCACGGGCACCCCUGUCCCACCCCACGUCGCAGAUCCGAUCACUACGGCGGCGACCCGCGGCCAAAGACGGAGACCUCGCCGUGCGCCCUAAACACCGACGACACAGGAUACUGAUCGAUUGCAGUUGGGUUCAUCUCGAUCUCCUGACGCGGCCGCCGUGUACUUCUUGGUGCGAGCAAUGCAAUCUACCAAUAGCUUGCAAAUGCAGUUGGAGGAGGAAAGAUUUACCACACCUGUAAAGAAAGCAAGUGUUCCUCUCCCCUGUUCGUCUUUUACACCGGAAUGUGAAGAGAAUUUGAAGCCUAAUUUAGGCAUGACAUUUGAAGGAUUAGAGGCUGUUGAGAAGUUCUAUAAGUUUUAUGGACAUGAAGUUGUGUGGUAAUGAUACCUACAAGAUAGAAUCAUGGGUUGAGCACUACAAUCAUGGUCACUUGAUCAGAUCAAAUCGUCUGAGUUAUUGAGAGUGCAAAGAAUGCAUUCUACACAUGUAACAAAGCAAGCAUAGACACCUGUCAGACAUACAGGCUUCUCCAAGUCAGCGAGGGUUCCUGCAGUGAAGCACACUAGGCAAGAGGAAUAUGAGGCAUUUAUUGGUUGCAACAUCCCUACUCAAGUUAACAUACACCCGCCAAAUGAUGUUCGUUCGGCAGGGAGAAGUAAAAGAAUAAGGAGAGGAAAGGAGAUGAAUGGGGAAGAACUUAAAGAGAAGAACGAAGAAGCCAAGGCCAAGGUCGCACGCUCGUGCAAGACGUGCAACCAAGUACGGUUUCAUGAUAGUCGCAAUUGUCCAAAGAAAAAGGGUCAGGAAAAGAAGUCAUGAAUGUGCAUGUCAUGCAUACAGAAUUACAGAUUGUGCAUCAUGAAAGGUACACCUCUUGCAAGAAAAAUAAAUGCUUUAUCAAUAGUAUUGUUUUAUUCGAUGUAUAAAAUUUCUUUGUGUAAUGGAUCAAAUAAUUAUUUUGUCCAACUGUUUGACUUAGUGGUGAGCAGAUUCAAUGAAUUGCAGU